GGUCUCGUAGCUCAGCCGGUAGAGCGUGCGCGUACAAAACGUAGGCGGCGUCCAUGCGUGAGCUCGAAUCCCACCGGGGCUG
rnacentral:tRNA from 1 species